CUUACUUCAAAUGUGUCUGGAUGUGUGGACUACCGUAAGGGACCUCAUGAAUAGCGACAGCAACACCAAUGAAGAUGCUGGUAAACAACUGAUGAGACAAUGGACAGAACUUGUUUGUUUCUGAUUUGUGAGAUAUUUUUUUCAGCCUCUGAAGCCCCGAAUGCAACUGCAUAAGCCCAUGGAUCAGUAUCAGUAUCACCCUUCAUUCACUCCGGACACAGCACAGCAGGACUCCUCCUACACACACAAACUAUACACAUUUUGAGUAAGUUUUCCAGUUAUCUUUUAAUGGAACCAGACGCCUAUCCCCUAUCAUUCCUCGUUUCUUGGCAGCCUAAACCCAAAACACAACCAAUGUUGCAAGAACUGAAGAACUCUUCAGGUUCCAAUGCAAGUCAUUUGAGAGUACAAAGAACAGAACACAUAACUGAUGGAAUUAAACCUAAAGAACAGGACGAUCAGGACAUAUCAACCAAGGGACAACAAUUGUCAGCUCACUUCUCAGUAUGAUUGCCUAAAGC
rnacentral:lncRNA from 1 species